GUACCGUGUAAUGGGGGAUAGCUCGGCGAAAAACGGAGUAAUACCGCAUACGCCCUGAGGGGGAAAGUGGGGGACCGAAAGGCCUCACGUUAUACGAGCAGCCGAUGUCUGAUUAGCUAGUUGGUGAGGUAAAGGCUCACCAAGGCGUCGAUCAGUAGCGGGUCUGAGAGGAUGAUCCGCCACACUGGGACUGAGACACGGCCCAGACUCCUACGGGAGGCAGCAGUGGGGAAUUUUGGACAAUGGGCGCAAGCCUGAUCCAGCCAUGCCUUCGUGUCUGAAGAAGGCCUUCGGGUUGUAAAGGACUUUUGUCCGGGAGCAAAUCCUAGUGGUUAAUAACCGCUGGGUCUGAGAUUUCCGGAUUUUAUAAGCACCGGCUAACUACGUGCCAGCAGCUUUCGGUAAUACGUAGGGUGCAAGCGUUAAUCGGAAUUACUGGGCGUAAAGCGUGCGCAGGCGGUUGUGCAAGUCUGAUGUGAAAGCCCCGGGCUUAAACCUGGGAACGGCAUUGGAGACUGCACGACUAGAGUGCGUCAGA
rnacentral:rRNA from 1 species